UAAAAAGAUGAUGUAUGCACAUGAACAUGCAGAACUGAGAACUCAGGUUAAGUUACAGCAAGAUAUGGCAGGUACUGUGGUUUGAAUGUGUUCCCCAAAGUUCCUGUGUUGGAAACUAAAUCUUCAAUGCAACAGCAGGACCUUCAAGAGGUGAUUGGGUCAUGAGAGUUCUGCACUCGUGAAUGGAUUAAUGUCAACAUCAUCAAGAAGCCCCUUGCCAGAAGCAAGCCUCAUGACUUAGGACUUUCCAGCCUCCAGAAUUCUGGGCAUGGUGGCUCACACCUGUAAUCCCAGCACUUCGGGAGGCCCAGGUGGGCGGAUCACCUGAGGUCAGGAGUUUGAAACCAGCCUGAGCAACAUGGUGAAACCCCAUCUCUACUACAAAUACAAAAAUUAGCUGGGUGUGGUGGCUUGCAUCUGUAAUUCCAG
rnacentral:lncRNA from 1 species